rnacentral:tRNA from 1 species
GGAGAGGUGUCAGAGUGGCCGAAUGAGCACGCUUGGAAAGCGUGUGAACGAGAUAAUCGUUCCGAGGGUUCGAAUCCCUCCCUCUCCG